rnacentral:tRNA from 1 species
GCGCCCGUAGCUUAACAGGAUAGAGCGGUGCCUUCGCAAGGCCAAAGGUGGGGGUUCGAGUCCCUCCGGGCGCG